rnacentral:rRNA from 1 species
GGGUUGAGGGAGAAAAAAGGAGAAAAGGGGAGGAACACGUGAGCAACCUGCCCUUGGGAUGGAGAAAGCGGGCGGGAAACUGCGGCUAAUACCGGAUGCGGCGCCCGGCGACAUCGUCGGAGCGCUAAAGGGCUUUUGCAAGGCUCCCGCCCGAGGAGGGGCUCGCGCACCAUCAGCGAGUUGGCGGGGUAACGGCCCACCAAGGCCUACGGUUAGCUGGUCUGAGAGGAUGGCCAGCCCCUCUGGGACUGAGAUACUGCCCAGACUCCUACGGGAGGGUGCAGUCUAGGAUCAUUUGCAAUGGGCGAAAGCCUGACAAUGCGACGCUGCCUGGAGGAUGAAGGCCUUCGGGUUGUUUUUUUCUGUCACGGGGGGAACCGGCGAGGGGGCCGAGCGCG